ensembl:lncRNA
AAAAGAUGAGAAAUAGAUUCCAGGCAGUGAGCACAGCACAUGACAAGGCAUGAAGACAUCAAAGAGGGUAAUGGUUUGGGGACUGGUGAGACUUUCUGUGUGGUUGGAGUGAGGAUGAGGGGGUGGAGUUGGAGGUUAACAGAGAAAUUGCUGGGAAAGACAUGCAGGGGCUCAUUUGUGAAAGGCUCUCUAUGCCAUGCUAAAGAAUUUUAAAUUUAUCCUGUAAGAAAUUAUUUUAAGUACAAUAGAUCUUUUUUUUUUUUUUUAGAAAAAUCACUUUGGUGACAGGAUAGAGGUGGAUACUUGAGAAGGAGAAGGAAGGGGAUGAUGCUCUGGAGAGAAUGUGUCUUGAAUGUGAUAACAUUAGGAGAAGAAAAUUUAGAAUAAGUUGUAGAGAGCUUUGGAGGCCAGGUUGAGAAGUUGGUGCUGAAUUCUGUGACGAUGCUAUACUUUAUGAACUUUCAGCCCCGGAGAGUCUAUGGAAUGGAUGAACACCAAGAAAUUCUAGGGCCUAGGAUCAAAUUUGGAGUCUAAAAUGACAGCCCAGGCAGGAGAUAGAUGCAGCAUAUUCCACUGAUGGGUCCUUGUGGAAAAUAUCUUCUUCUGAAAAGAGCAUCUUGAGAAGAGACAAUUUCACCUUCUGCUGGAAGUUGAUUGCCUCCAUGUGACGCUUGGAGUUGCCACGCUACCAUUUUGCUAUGCUAAGAGGAGCUCAUCUGUGAACAAAGCCUAUAUUCAACAAGGAACCUGAUUUCUUGGUGAUGCUAUGGAACAACUGAUUUACCUAAACCUGUAACUGCCUUCCAUUUAAACAUUUGUUAUAUGAACUAAUUAAUAUUCUUAAUGUUUAUGUCAAUAUGAGUUGGAAUUUUCUAAUGCAUGAAAUAAUGCAAGUAUGAAUUAGAACUGAAACAGAAGGAAAGUAGUAAAGACCAAACGAGGGAGACCCAGACACAAAUCUUUGCUGCAGUAGGAUUGGUGAGGUGGGGCAAUUACCUGAUUCAGUGGAAAAGAGAGAUAGGCCUAUGAUUUGAGGGCUGCUUGGUUCAUUGGGAGAGUAAACAAAAAUCACAAAAACAAGGACUUAAAAGAUGAGUUGGUUUGGGAAAGAAGUUGUUAAGCCAGACUUUAUGUAUUCAUCUUGAGUGUGAGGUGAAGAUGUUGCAAAGUUCAGGAUCGGCAUGCUAAGAAACAAAGCCAAAACCAAAUACACACUUCAUUUUCUUGCUGUAGCCCUGAGGAAUUCUUACAUUGUGAAUGUUUUUUCCUUGCUACAUCUCCUCCUAUUAAUUAUUGAUGUUUGCCUAAGUAUAAUUAAUGCAAUUUAUAUCAAUAACAAUAAAGGAGGAUAUAUAAUGUAAUAACCAAGCAAUUUUUUAUUUGGAAAAUUCCACGAGUGCUUUCACAAUCCUAAAGUGGUAAGGUGUUCUGUUGUGACGUUACUUCACAGAAAUGUGCCAUGUGUACCAUGGUCAGAAAACAGGAGCUCAAACCUGGGCUCAAGUAUCUGCCCCCUCUCUUCAUUACUUUUUGGCCCUGCCAAGUACCUUAAUUACCAGGAACCUCCACUUGAUUAAAUUUUAAAUAGGUUUCAUAAAACUUACUAGGCAAACUUUGCUCUUAGUAAUGGUAAUUACGGUAUGCACCCACAUUUCAAAAUUGCACUCACUUUUGUUCUUCAAGUUCUCAAAUUUUUUAGUUACAAGUUACAACUGUCUUUUAUUUUCAGUUGAGAUUUUUCCCUACUGAGUUCACUGUUGUGUGGAGAACCCUUGGGUCCCCUAAAGAAGGAGUUGCAAAUUUGUUUGUUGAGCUCAGAGGAAUGGUGUGGGCCAUGCUGGUUGUCUGGAAAGGUCACUGCAUCAGAAGUGUGGGCUUGGCCAUCUUCCUUUCUGUCUUAUUGCACCAAUGAGCUUCCAAAGCACCGAAGAACUCAGCUCUUCAGCUCCAAAGUUAGACUGAAAAGACUGACUCAGAGGUGUAGUGAACCCCAAGGUGAGUUUCAGCCAGUCAGAGAUUGCACUGUUGUGAUCCUGGAAUCUCUUGAAAAUAAUACGUAUUUUAAUUUUUUUACACGUCCUUGUUCCUUGUAUUCACAGUUUCCUAUGAAGAAAGGAAGAAAUGAUUAAGCCAAAAUAGGGGUCGGCCUUUGCUCAUCGAAUUGUUGACUAAUUUCACAGUAAAGUACCCAAAAUCUUAAUUAACAUUUGGACUUUUUAAUAUUCAACAAGUAUUUAAUAAGUACCUAGUAUCACCAGGAACUAAUUUAGGCUGUCAGUGGCCUUCUGUGUUUUGUUUAAAUAGAGGCUUUUAUGUUGAGAAAGUAAGCUGGUGAUGCACUUAGGAUCCAUUUCACGCAUCACCAUUCAGAGUUGUCAUUUGUUGCUGGACCAUCCAUCAGCAAGGCGAAGUCUAGGUUCUAAAUUAGAUUGUUAACUGCUUAUGAUUACAGAAUUUUUGAAAUCACUGCACCAGAUAAAGUACUAUGAUCCCACCCAUCCAUAAGGUCAGAGAUUAAGAAACUUUAAGUAAAAGGACUACACCUGGCUCCACCUGUACCAGCAUUGUUACCCACAUGCUGGUUCCCAGGGAUCCAGGCACAUCAAGAGCUCCACAUCAGUUCUUAUGUUCGUCACCCCAGUGACUGACAGGGUUGACAUAAUUUGAGUAGGCACCAAUGUUGACAGUGCCCCUGCACUGAAAAUUUGGGUAGAAUCCCUUAUCGUGACCAUGUAUCCUUCAUGAGGACAUGUGUAGAUUGGCUUUGUGUGUGUGUAAGAGCUUCCUAACAAUGUGAAUGACAGUCUCCUUUUGCAAUUUCAGAAUAAAAGUUUUCCAUUUAUGAAACUCAAAAUGUUCAUUUUAUGGCAAUAAAUUCAUUAGAGAAACUCUAAAAUACAUCAGGAAUAUUUGGUUAUUAAAGGAUAUACUGUUUUUUUUUUUAAUU